rnacentral:misc_RNA from 1 species
UUUCCGUAGGUGAACCUGCGGAAGGAUCAUUCAUAAUCAGUGUUUUAUGGCACUUUUUUAAUCCAUAUCCACCUUGUGUGCAAUGUCAGGGUUGAUUUUUCUCUCGAGAGGAUCAACCCCAAACAUCAACUAUAUCUCAACUCUUUGUCUGAAAAAUAUUAUGAAUAAAACAAUUCAAAAUACAACUUUCAACAACGGAUCUCUUGGCUCUC